GACGAACGCUGGCGGCGUGCUUAACACAUGCAAGUCGAACGGAAAGGCCCUGCUUGUGUGGGGUGAUCGAGUGGCGAACGGGGGAGUAACACGGGAGUAACCUGCCCUUGACUUUGGGAUAAAUUCAGGAAACUGGGGCUAAUACCGGAUAGGAGAUCCCGCUGCAUGGUGGGGGGUGGAAAAUUUCGGCGGAUGGGGAUGGAGUCGCGGCUUAUGAGGUUGUUGGUGGGGUAGUGGAUUACCAAGGCUUUGACGGGUAGCCGGCCUGAGAGGGUGACCGGGCACAGUGGGACUCAGAAACGGGCAGGAGGGCAACGUGAGGCAGGAGUGGGGAAUAUUGCGCAAUGGGCGGAAGCAUGAUGCAGAAACGUCGGGUGGGAAAAGACGGUUUUCGGGGUGUAAACAGCUUUAGACUGUGACGAAGCGUGAGUGACGGUAAUUAGUAAAGAAGCACCGGCUAACUACGUG
rnacentral:rRNA from 1 species